rnacentral:rRNA from 1 species
GAUGAACGCUGGCGGCGUGCCUAAUACAUGCAAGUCGAGCGAACAGAUGAGGAGCUUGCUCCUCUGACGUUAGCGGCGGACGGGUGAGUAACACGUGGAUAACCUACCUAUAAGACUGGGAUAACUUCGGGAAACCGGAGCUAAUACCGGAUAAUAUAUUGAACCGCAUGGUUCAAUAGUGAAAGACGGUUUUGCUGUCACUUAUAGAUGGUUCCGCGCCGCAUUAGCUAGUUGGUAAGGUAACGGCUUACCAAGGCAACGAUGCGUAGCCGACCUGAGAGGGUGAUCGGCCACACUGGAACUGAGACACGGUCCAGACUCCUACGGGAGGCAGCAGUAGGGAAUCUUCCGCAAUGGGCGAAAGCCUGACGGAGCAACGCCGCGUGAGUGAUGAAGGUCUUCGGAUCGUAAAACUCUGUUAUUAGGGAAGAACAAAUGUGUAAGUAACUUUGCACGUCUUGACGGUACCUAAUCAGAAAGCCACGGCUAACUACGUG